rnacentral:rRNA from 1 species
CGUAGGGGGCAAGCGUUGUCCGGAAUCAUUGGGCGUAAAGCGCGCGUAGGCGGCCCGGUAAGUCCGCUCUGAAAGUCCAGGGCUCAACCCUGGAAAGCGGGUGGAUACUGCCGGGCUAGAAUCCGGAAGAGGCGAGUGGAAUUCCUGGUGUAGCGGUGGAAUGCGCAGAUAUCAGGAGGAACACCAAUAGCGAAGGCAGCUCGCUGGGACGGUAUUGACGCUAAGGCGUGAAAGCGUGGGGAGCAAACAGGAUUAGAUACCCUGGUAGUCCACGCCGUAAACGAUGGGUACUAGGUGUGGGAGGUGUCGACUCCUCCCGUGCCGACGCUAACGCAUUAAGUACCCCGCCUGGGGAGUACGGCCGCAAGGCUA